rnacentral:lncRNA from 1 species
GCUAAUCAUCUGCAGACAUCUGUAAUGACCCUUGGACAAAACCGAGGAAAACUAAAUCAAAGCUUUGACAAGGGCAGGAGAGCGGAAACAGAAGCCCUAAUUGUGGCCAUGUGAAGUGCACUUUCCCCUUUUGUAGCUUUUGUAAUAGAAUUGCACAAUACUUUAUAAAGUAACUUUUAUAGACAGACCCAGAAAUGACUUUUUCCAUCUUUGCGGAUAAAUGGUCAGACUCGAUCUGUGAAAUAUGCGAAGAAGGACCGACAUUAUGGUGCAAAUGUAGCAGACAAAAGGGUUUGGGCGAGCUUUUGCCAGUUAAAUUUGGCUAACCUGCAGAAAGCCUAUUGUCAAGCCAGCCAUGCUUCACUGAGCUCUCUUCCCUCUUUAUGGUUAAGUGAACCUCAAAACAAUGACAAAGAAAUAUGCACUGAGUCACAUAUUCUAAGAAAUAGACUGUACUCUCCUCAAAUCGAAAUAACGGCACUUUAAUUCUUGGAUUUUCCACAUUUUCGUUGGUAAAGCUCCUAUUUGCUUUCUCUGAAUCUGUAUCAGUUCAUGCAGUUCUGCCAAGUGGGGAAGCUUUGCAGGACACUGCCACUGUAGCACUUGAAAUAUUAAGAUGAACAGAACAAGCAAAAGGUGGGAAAACUGGAAAGAUUGAAUGUCCUUUGGAGUUCACAGAGGUUUGGCAGUGGGAGGAGAAAAACAAAACGAAGCAUAGUGGGAGUGUUGAACCGACUUUCCCAAGAUCCCCAGGGAAAUCAACAAAGAGUAUUGCUUCCUUGCGAAUUGGCAGGAAGGUUUCCAGCAUAAUAAAAGAGUGCAGAAAAAACAAGUUAAUUCAAGGAUAAAACUGUGAAUAAGUAGAAGAGAAGACUACACCAGGAAAAGAGACGGAGGUAGAGGCCCAAUGGAAAAUGACAACUUCAUCUCUCAGAAAACCACAGGUCAGAUGCAGAAAAGUAAUGCUUGGAUAAAUUAUAUCACAGGAGAUAUAGAGCUCAGCUACAAAGUCCAGAAAUACAACAGACAGAAGCAGAAAGAGCCAUGGGGAAACUUGAUGCUGGAAUUGGGGUUUUUAGCAUUGACUGUUACUUCUGCGUGGGUUGGAGUGGAUGCCACCUGGAUUCGAGAGUUUCUUUACUAAUGCUUGUGAACCCUGAAAAUCAGUCUGCAAAUAUCAAUUAGUCGUUUAGCUGGGCAAAGACAGUUCAACCUACUGAUAGGCAGACAACUAGGCUAAGGGUAAGCCCUAGCCCCUAUUUAUAGGAGAUCACUCAGCCUGGACUUCACAAUCAAGCUGAAAUUGAAAACUAACAAAAAAUAGAGUCAGAGAAACAUGAAGACCCAAAAAUAUCAAAGUAUUGAUACCCUAAAGACUCAAAUGAAGAUUAUAUCUCUCACUGUAUUUAAAUAUCACAAAAGAAUACAAUUUAGAAUUAAAAAACCACCAAUUUCUCAAGUAAUUCAAUAAAAUAAAAUAACAUUAAGUUUGUGAAACAGAGUAAGUUUAACAUGAAGGAACAGAUUAAAAUUAAAAUUAAAAUGGAAUUGGCUGAGAGGAUGUAUAAAAGGAAAAUACCUGUCCAUGAAGGGCAAUUUGGUAGUGUUUCUCAAAAAUACAAACAAAAAAAAAAAAAAAAGAGGAAAAACACAGAUUCUGAAUUCUAAAAAUUAUUAUUUUUAGGAAUGUAUCUGAAACUAGGCCUCAUAAAACUUAGAAACUAGGCCUCAUAUAGAAAAAAUUAACACCAGGUGGCUCUGGAUAGGGUCCCACCCUGCCUCGAUAGGGACCCACCCUGAUAGGGUCCCACCCUGCCAAUUCCGGGAAACAACCUCAUGGGGUCCCACCCUGCCAAUUCCGGGGGUCCCACCCUGCCUCGAAGUUCCCGGAAUCAACAACUCCAGAAAAAAAACCUCAUAAGGUCCUGCUCUAACCAAUUAGCAUAAGACACCUUGCUCAGGCCAUAGUUAGACCCAAUCAUUUUGCGCCUUAAGCUUUGUUUGAAUUUCGCGCCAUAAGCUGUGUUUGAACUUGUGUUUGCCUAUAUAAACAGCCUGUAACAAGCAGUCGGGGUCCCAGGGCCAACUUAGAGCUUGGGACCCUAGCGCGCUAGUAAUAAAUAACUCUCUGCUGUGAAUCUCGUGUCGGUGAUCCUUCGCGGCGACCCCUGCCCAGGAGGGAAUCGACAGUUCGGUUCCAACAGUAUCCUAUAUAUAUUCACUCCUGUGAAAGAGACAUACAAAGGCUAUUUGAAAGAAUGGUUUGUACUAUCAAAAAACUGAACAUAAACUAGAUCUCAAAAGACACACUAAAUUAUGCAAAUCCAUUUAAUAUAAUAUCCUGUAACUGUUAAAACUGAGGGACAAUUAAAG